UUUUUUUUUUUUUAAAGAUUUUAUUUAUCCAUUCAUGAGAGACACACACAGAGAGAAUGGCAGAGACACAGUCAGAGGGAGAAGCAGGCUCCAUGCAGGGAGCCCGACGUGGGACUCGAUCCCAGGAUUCCAGGAUCACACCCGGAGCCGGAAGACAGACGCCCAACCACCGAGCCACCCAAGAGUCCCGAAAUAUAGCUAAUCCAGUUAUAGGAUGACUAGCCAUAGUAGAUUAAGUGGAAAGUUUAUAUCUAAGAAUAUCUGCUAUGACCUGAGUGAGGAUAUGUAAUUGAAUUUCUUUCCACACAUACACACACACACACACACACACACACACACACACACACAUACGGGUGCAUGCAUGCACACACAUGCAUAUACACCUGCCUACACACAUCUCCAUAGAUCAUCUCUGGCUUUCAAAAUAAAUCACAAAAGAAUACUUUAAAGUAGAAAUGGGCAUCCUCAUGUAAAAAAAAUAGAAAGCAUCAUCUUUCAGGUUUUAUUGCAGUCUCUCAUUUUAUUCAUCAAGUGUUCAAGGAGAGCUGAGGAGUUGCGUGGGCUGAUUGCUUAGUUCUAUGUGUGUAUUGAAGAGAAACAGAAAACCCAUUGAGAUGUGUGCAUUACGGUGAUUAAGAAUCCAGGUGCUUCAGGUUUAAGAAUUUUAAAGAUGACUUUGAACAAAAUAUUUUCUUUUAGGUAUAGAGCUAGACACUCAUUCAAGGGUCCUGGAAAGACAACGGAGUUUGUUUUGCCACUUUUUGCCAAUAGAAUAUCAAAUUAAGGAAUUAUUUUACAUGUAUUAUUGGAAGGGAUGUUCGGAUUUGUUUCAGUCCUGGUUGGUGAGCAGUCUCUUACAAUUCCUGUUUAAUUCCACGUGUGGCUUCUUAAAGGAAAAUGCUCGUCUCUCUCCUCUCUGUCUGCACAGUUAAUGAUGAGAAGGGUUUGCCAAAUUUUGGGCUUGUCUUUCCUUCUUUCAGUCUUCCACUUGUUUUUCUUCUAUGCAGCUCUCAUUUUGGUUUAAAUACUAGAGGUAUUAUAAUAGUCUUCUACGUGGGAUAUUUUUGUUUUACUUUAAAAUACUUCAUAAGUCUAAACACAGAUCUAUACAAAAAGUAUCACACAUAUUUUACCUAUGUAGCACUGUCAGGUAUAAUGUCCACAGAAGCUCAGAGAGGGGGGUGAUUUGCCCAAUCACUUCUUGCUCUGGGGAAGUGUCAUUCCUCUGAUAACUGAGUCAGGUUAAACUCAGUUUACCAAGCUGCACUCUAUCCUAGCUGUGCUGUAACAGGAUAUUCUUCACAUCUACUCUCCUGUGACCCUUUUCCUGGUCCCAAAUUGUUCCUUUCCAGGAAGAGUGAGUAAGAUUACAGCCUUGGCCAGACAUUGUCAGCAUUUUACUGACAUUACCAAUGAAUAAUGUGCAAUAAUGUGCUUCUGGGUUUGUGCUUACCUGAUAGCCGGCCGGAGUCAUUGUUUUAUUUUACACUAGAUUCCAAUUUUAACACUGGGCACUGGCACUUGUUACAUCAGGACUUUCAUAGGUAGGAUGCUGGCAUCCUUUUAAUCAUGUUCUCCUCCUUUAACAUCUUUAGAACAUAUAUCUGUACUUGUUGUGGGUACAUAAUUGAUUCAGGUCUCCAAAUGCAAGCACUUGUGUUAGCUUUCAUAUUAACUUUGUGUUAGAAAGAGUCAAUAAAAUCACAGCUAGAGCCAUAUCUCAUUAGGGGCUCAUGUAUUUCUCAAGGCAAAACUCACUGGAUGCUUAGUGUUGAAUUUGUCAUUCGCUCAAGUCAUUGAAAAAUGGUAUCUCACACAAAAGACUAUAGGACUCUGUGAAGGGAGGGGCAUUACAUUUUACUUCUUUUAUCAUAAUGAACAAAGCAGGUUCUCAGGAAAAAAAAAAAAAGAUAUUGACCAGCUGUGUUGUUUAUAUUUGAGUUUCUCUGGGAUAUGCUUGCUCCUCUUGAAAACAGAACAAUCUAUUAACAUAAUGAAAUGCUGUAAGCCUAAUGCAUAGGUCAACAGCUGCUGUAAAGGACCUCAGUCUUUGGGACCAAGCAAGUUGAACAGGUUGGUUAUCCUCCAGUUCACUGUGUGAUAAUUUUGAGAUCUGCAUUUUAGUUUGAAAAUGGAAAGAAAAAUUCUCCCCUCCUUCUUUAUCAGCUAAGACCUUAGCUAACCUUUGCCAUAUACUCUGUUGGCAUGAUUAGAGAUAAGGCCAACAGCUUUUCCACCUCUUGGCUCCUCACCACCAGGAAAAUAUUAAGUAGUAAAAGAAAGAUCAGCACCAGGAAACUCAACAAUUUAUUUGCCAGAAAUCAAGACUUCGACCUAAUUCACAAACUUGUUUCAGUGAAAGAAUCUGCUGAUAGCUGGAAGACUCCUUUCCAGAGGGAGGCCGCUUUCCAUGCUGGGAGAAAAUGAAUGAUUCUAGGAGAUUCUUCUGCCUGAGAGAUUAAAUACACAAGCUGACAAUGGCCAGACCAUAUAUAAAAAUAGGACUGUGACCUACUAUCUGUAGCCACCAGUUCAGGAAACCAAUCCCCUGUUACUAGUAACCAGUUCUGGAAGCCAGCUAGCAGACUUAUAAAAGGUCAUAUCCACAUUUCUAGAAAACAGUCUAGGGAACCACCAAACAAUAGCCCUUUUUACGAUUGGCCUGAAGUGACCAGGACUUGAUCAAUAACUGACAGUGUUCCUAAUUUUUGUCUCUGCUUCUGACUUAGGACCAGCCAGAGAAAGCCAAAUGUGCACUCUAACCAAUCAUGUGGGAUGACCCACUUCCAGUUAGCCUGCCCACAGCCUCCCAUGUCAACAGCCACCAGUCAGGACGCAUCAGAAGCUUUCUCUUUUGUCCUCUAUGCAGCUUUCCCACUCCUCCCUUACUGAGUCUUGGCCACAACACAAGAGAGAGUGGCUGACUCUUUUCCUGUAGCAAAUUCUGAACAAAUAACCUGUGUCUGUUCUCAUUUGCUUGGUCUUCAUUUAUACCCUCAUGCCCCAAUGUUUCUUUUCCCAUCUUGUAUAGUAGUUAAGUUUGGGGCUCUGGAAACACACCAGUUACCUUUGUUUGAACACAGGCAUCAAUACUUGCCAGCUGUGUGGCCUUGGGUAGGCUACUUUUAACCCCUGUGUAUCAGUUUCCUCAUUGUAAAUGGGGUUGAUGACUGCAUUGCUCCAUAAGGUAUGUGAGUUAGAUGACUCGAUGCCCAUUAAAGCAUCUGGAACUAUCUAUUCUAAGUGCUACUGCUGGCCAUUUUAUCAGCCCUAUUACAAGUAAGCUCAUUGUCUCAUUACGCAUGUCUUUGACCUGCAUUAUCAGGCAUAAAUCCUGAUAAGAUAUAAAUCUAAUCUGGAAGAGGCAGGACUUGAAGCUGUUGACAUUUAUUCACAAAUUAACCUGAAUUAGUAUAGAAGAUUUAUUAACCUAGGAAGAAUCCUGAAAUUUGAUAUCAGCAGGCCUUGAGACAGGCUGUACACGUGUGGGUCUCUGGGGGCUUCAGUGGGCAUCAAAUGAACACCGAAGUGAGAGGACACUGGAGGUUUUAGGAUGCGGUUGUGGUUGUGAUUGUGGGGGGAGGAGGUUUGAGAAUGGACACCAGUGCUGUGAAAUCCAUCCACUUAAUGAGGCCGGGAUUUUCACGGUGGACACAGUCCUGGUCGCCUCAUAUAUUUUAAUAAUUGGUGGAAGUAGACGGAUCUCCUUCUCCAGGAGGAAUCCAGGGCUCCCUGUACAGAUUUUCUAUUUCUGUUCACCAGGAAGCUAUCUCAAGAAUUUCUCAUUUGUAACAUUCACCAAUUUGGACUGAGAAGAUCGGCUUUUCCCACCCUGCUGCUCUGCAACCUCCUGUAGAAUCAUGAAUCACUGUGUGGGUAGACAGGUCUCCUAGAGUUAAAGAAUUAAAAAAAAAAAAAAAAAAAAAAAAACCUUUGCUUGGUCAAAAGGCAAACCCAGUUUAUGUAUUUUUCUAGAAAAAUAGGUAGGGCAUGAGAUUUCUCUUGAUGGCAAUUGUGAACAGCCCCCUUAAGCAAAAAGUUCCUGAGUGGAUGUCAGUUCAAGCCCUGGGGUCCAGACCUGUGUGGGCAAAUAAGGAGAGCCCAGGUGUGAAAGGCCAGGAGCAGCGGCCCUUUGUCUCACAUUAAACUGAACCCUGCGUUCGGUGUGGGGUAGAUGGAUUAUGCUGUGUGCUGACAUGCCUGCUUCCAGAGUCUCUGAUGAAACAGCUUGGGUUUGAUCUCGAAGCAUUAAAACUUCACCUUGAAGUCCUCCUUUCACCUAACUGAGGAAGGGCCGCCUGCAGCAAAAGAAGUUACAGGGUUCUUCAUAUCCACUCUGCUGUUCAAAACUGAGACACGGGAGCAACAGGAAUUAUUUCUGCCUCAGUCUCUUUUGGAAAGAGCUGGAGUAUAAGCAUGUCAAAGACAAACCAAGAACAAACAAAAAUGAAACCCACAAAAAAAAAAACCCACAAACAAACAAAACCCCCAUUGGAGCCAGAGAAGUCCAGUUCUCCCUUUACCUCUGCUGAAAUACUCUGUUUUAUAAAAUUGGUUAGAACUACACCUGGCGGUUUUCCCUGACUACCCGAGGGGAAAGAAAUAAAAAUCUAGGAAAGAUUCCCUUACUGAGGCCUGGCUUAUUUUCUUACUUUCUGCGUCAAGUAGUCAAGUUAUUUACUUUGAAAGCUUCUGUAACUGAACAUGUAUAUUUGCUGAGCUAUUUCGAAUGGGUUCUAUUAUGCCUCAGCCUUUUUCAGUGAUGGACUUUGCACGUAGUUCUAAAGCCUGGUGGUGCAAUUUCUAACUGGGAGGCAUUCUCAAGGCAGGCUGAGUAAAAGCAGUAGCAUGGUUUAGGAAUAAACAUAAUCUCUUAAGAGUUGUUGUUGCAGAGUUUUUUGUUGAGCUCCAACAGGCGAGAGCAUGCAGCCUGGUUCAGGGAGUGUGCCCUUCUGGGGGUCGCCUUUGCCACCCGUGUAGUGGGAGUGAACCACCUGUCCUUACUUCUUCUGCUGCAGUUGUGAUGAGAGAAAUCCUAAUGGGUGAGUCAACUCCCGAAGUUGAAGCACAGAGAGGGAGGGUCCUGGUUCUUUGGAAGCCCCAGAGUCCCCCUCAAGUUAGCCAAGCAAAGGCUCACCUGAGUUGGCCAACCCCAUAGAGACCCAGGGCAAAACUGAAACACAGGUCCCUAGUGUGGUGAUCAAUGGGGAUUGUGCUAAGUCCUCAUAUAUAUAUUAUCACCUCUUUUGGUAUUUACAAAAACAGAAUAGGUACUGUUCCUUUUUUUGGUUCUGAGAGAGGGAGAGAGAAAGAGAGAGCAAGCAAGCAAAGCACAAAGAGAAAAGGGGCAGAGGGAGAGGGAGAGAGAGAAUCUUAAGUAGGCUCCAUGUCCAGUGCAGAGUCCAAUGUGGGGCUCCAUCUCAUGACCUUGAGAUCAUGACCUGAGCUGAAGUCAAGAGUCAGACGCUUAAUCAACUGAGCCACCCAGGCACCACUACUUUUUCUUUUAAAGAUGAGAAAAGGCUCAGAGAGGUUAAGAAACCUUCCCUAAAUCUCAUAGUGACACUAUAACUCUAGGAUCACUACAACUCUAGGAUCACUACUCUUCACCACUUCAAUGGUGACUUUAGGGCAAACUCCCAGGAAUCUGGAAUGUGGACCAGAUACCGGUAUUUUAUAAAGCAUCUGGAUGAUUCUAUUAUGAACCAGUGGUCUUCAGACCACUGAGAAACACUGAACUAUAUUACUAUUCACUGUCCUGCCACUAUUUAUUAUACACAUUUAUACCCUACUUGUUUCUUUAAAGAAUUGGGAACGAUUUAAAAAAAAGAGGUCACACAAACAAAAAGGUUAAAAAAAAUACUAGGGGACAUUAAAACUAAUAAGGAGACCAAGAGACAAAAAAAAAAAAAAAAAAAAAAAAAA
rnacentral:lncRNA from 1 species